rnacentral:rRNA from 1 species
GACGACGCUGGCGGCGUGCUUAACACAUGCAAGUCGAACGGUGAUCUUGAGAGCUUGCUCUUGGGUGAUCAGUGGCGAACGGGUGAGUAACACGUGAGUAACCUGCCCCUGACUCUGGAAUAACUUCGGGAAACCGAAGCUAAUACCGGAUAUGACACAGAGCCGCAUGGUUUCUGUGUGGAAAGUUUUUCGGUUGGGGAUGGACUCGCGGCCUAUCAGCUUGUUGGUGAGGUAAUGGCUCACCAAGGCGACGACGGGUAGCCGGCCUGAGAGGGCGACCGGCCACACUGGGACUGAGACACGGCCCAGACUCCUACGGGAGGCAGCAGUGGGGAAUAUUGCACAAUGGGCGAAAGCCUGAUGCAGCGACGCCGCGUGAGGGAUGAAGGCCUUCGGGUUGUAAACCUCUUUCAGUAGGGAAGAAGCGCAAGUGACGGUACCUGCAGAAGAAGCACCGGCCUAACCUACGUG